rnacentral:rRNA from 1 species
GUAGGAGACGAGCGUUAACCGGAUUUACUGGGUGUAAAGCGCGUGCAGGCGGUUUGUUAAGUUGGAUGUGAAAGCUCCCGGCUAAACUGGGAGAGGUCGUUCAAAACUGGCAGACUAGAGUGUGGUAGAGGAGAGUGGAAUUCCGAGUGUAGCGGUAAAAUGCAUAGAUAUUCGGAAGAACACCAGUGGCGAAGGCGACUUUCUGGACCACAACUGACGCUCAGACGCGAAAGCCAGGGUAGCAAACGGGAUUAGAGACCCCGGUAGUCCUGGCAGUAAACGAUGUGAACUUGGCGUCGGCGGGAUAAAACCUGUCGGUGCCGAAGCAAACGCGAUAAGUUCACCACCUGGGGACUACGGCCGCAAGGUUA